UGAAAUCUAAAAAUCUACUCACUAUUCAUAGUAUUUACAAAGGAAAUCUCAAAAUAAAACAAAGAAAACAUGGAAUUAAUAAAGGAAAAGAAAAACCCAGAAUUAAUAAAGGAAAAGAAAAACCCAAAUGAAGAACUCUUCAAAUGAUGAAAAUACAUGCCCAAGGAGUCUCUAUUGGUGAAGUUCCAGCAGCUCCCUUGUUCUCCCAAGGUGAAAUGAUGAAGAAGAAGGUGAAAAUAGUGGGAAAUGGGGGGAAGAAAUGUAGGUGGCUGCUCUU
rnacentral:lncRNA from 1 species